CUCAGGACUAACAAUUAAAUGGUGCUAUUUCCCCCUUAUCCUUAAUGUCCAGUACAUAAUAAAUGUUGUCAAUGUGUUCACCAUCAGAUGCCUAUGAGCGGCUUGUUAAAAAAUUCCUUUAGAUUUAAGAUAUUUUGCGGCUUGUAUAAUCAUUUCACACCUCAUUGCACUUAGACAUAAGCUCAAAUCACUUUAACAAAUACCAUCCACUAACUGAAUCAUCUAAGAUUCUCAGUGAUGAAUUAAACCACGACAACUUAUGUUACCAAAGCCAUACACUAAUUAGAAUUUACUUGCUAUAAUGAGAAGAAAAGCAAGCUGCCCCAUAUACAUACAC